AUUGAACGCUGGCGGCAGGCCUAACACAUGCAAGUCGAACGGUAACAGGAAGAAGCUUGCUUCUUUGCUGACGAGUGGCGGACGGGUGAGUAAUGUCUGGGAAACUGCCUGAUGGAGGGGGAUAACUACUGGAAACGGUAGCUAAUACCGCAUAACGUCGCAAGACCAAAGAGGGGGACCUUCGGGCCUCUUGCCAUCGGAUGUGCCCAGAUGGGAUUAGCUAGUAGGUGGGGUAACGGCUCACCUAGGCGACGAUCCCUAGCUGGUCUGAGAGGAUGACCAGCCACACUGGAACUGAGACACGGUCCAGACUCCUACGGGAGGCAGCAGUGGGGAAUAUUGCACAAUGGGCGCAAGCCUGAUGCAGCCAUGCCGCGUGUAUGAAGAAGGCCUUCGGGUUGUAAAGUACUUUCAGCGGGUAGGAAGGGAGUAAAGUUAAUACCUUUGCUCAUUGACGUUACCCGCAGAAGAAGCACCGGCUAACUCCGUG
rnacentral:rRNA from 1 species